AUUGAACGCUGGCGGCAGGCCUAACACAUGCAAGUCGAGCGGAUGAAGGGAGCUUGCUCCUGGAUUCAGCGGCGGACGGGUGAGUAAUGCCUAGGAAUCUGCCUGGUAGUGGGGGAUAACGUCCGGAAACGGGCGCUAAUACCGCAUACGUCCUGAGGGAGAAAGUGGGGGAUCUUCGGACCUCACGCUAUCAGAUGAGCCUAGGUCGGAUUAGCUAGUUGGUGGGGUAAAGGCCUACCAAGGCGACGAUCCGUAACUGGUCUGAGAGGAUGAUCAGUCACACUGGAACUGAGACACGGUCCAGACUCCUACGGGAGGCAGCAGUGGGGAAUAUUGGACAAUGGGCGGAAGCCUGAUCCAGCCAUGCCGCGUGUGGGAAGAAGGUCUUCGGAUUGGAAAGCACUUUAAGUUGGGAGGAAGGGCAGUAAGUUAAUACCUUGCUGUUUUGACGUUACCAACAGAAUAAGCACCGGCUAACUUCGUG
rnacentral:rRNA from 1 species